UACGCAGGGGGCUAGCGUUGCUCGGAAUCACUGGGCGUAAAGCGCACGUAGGCGGAUUGUUAAGUCAGGGGUGAAAGCCUGGAGCUCAACUCCAGAACUGCCCUUGAUACUGGCAAUCUCGAGUCCGGAAGAGGUAAGUGGAACUCCGAGUGUAGAGGUGAAAUUCGUAGAUAUUCGGAAGAACACCAGUGGCGAAGGCGGCUUACUGGUCCGGUACUGACGCUGAGGUGCGAAAGCGUGGGGAGCAAACAGG
rnacentral:rRNA from 1 species